rnacentral:rRNA from 1 species
GGGGGGGGCAAGCGUUGUUCGGAAUUACUGGGCGUAAAGGGUGCGUAGGCGGCUUUCUAAGUCGGAUGUGAAAACUCUGGGCUCAACCCAGAGCCUGCAUCCGAAACUGGAGAGCUAGGGUUCUGGAGGGGAAAGCGGAAUUCCUGGUGUAGCGGUGAAAUGCGUAGAUAUCAGGAGGAACACCGGUGGCGAAGGCGGCUUUCUGGACAGAUACCGACGCUGAGGCACGAAAGCUAGGGGAGCAAACAGGAUUAGAUACCCUGGUAGUCCUAGCCCUAAACUAUGGAUACUUGCUGUGGGGGGGAUUGAAGCCCCUUGUGGCGAAGCUAACGCAUUAAGUAUCCCGCCUGGGGAGUACGGUCGCAAGGCUG